rnacentral:rRNA from 1 species
UACGUAGGGGGCAAGCGUUGUCCGGAUUUAUUGGGCGUAAAGAGCUCGUAGGCGGUUGGGCAAGUCACGUGUGAAAUCUCCACGCUCAACGUGGAGGCGCCACGUGAGACUGCCCUGACUCGAGUCCGGUAGGGGAGCGUGGAAUUCCCGGUGUAGCGGUGAAAUGCGCAGAGAUCGGGAGGAACACCCGUAGCGAAGGCGGCGCUCUGGGCCGGUACUGACGCUGAGGAGCGAAAGGCGUGGGGAGCAAACAGG